CCCUUAGAUGUUCUGGGCCGCACGCGCGCUACACUGAUGCAUUCAACGAGUUUCUUCCUGGUCCGAGAGGAAUGGGUAACCUUUUGAAAGUGCAUCGUGAUAGUGAUAGACUAUUGCAAUUAUUGGUCUUCAACGAGGAAUUCCUAGUAGACGUAGUUCAUCAGACUGCAUCGAUUACGUCCCUGCCCUUUGUACACACCGCCCGUCGCUCCUACCGAUUGAAUGCUCAGGUGAGCCAUUCGGACUUUCAUCAUGCUGGUUUCCAGUUUUGAUGAAGGAAAGUCUUGCGAACCUUAUCAUUUAGAGGAAGGAGAAGUCGUAACA
rnacentral:rRNA from 1 species